rnacentral:ncRNA from 1 species
AUCAUCAGGGGUGCUUCGGCUGAGAUGGGAUUUUCCCAAACCCUUUAACCUGAUACGGAUAAUGCCGUCGUAGGGAGAUUG